rnacentral:rRNA from 1 species
GAUGAACGCUGGCGGCGUGCCUAAUACAUGCAAGUCGAGCGAACAGAUGAGGAGCUUGCUCCUCUGACGUUAGCGGCGGACGGGUGAGUAACACGUGGAUAACCUACCUAUAAGACUGGGAUAACUUCGGGAAACCGGAGCUAAUACCGGAUAAUAUAUUGAACCGCAUGGUUCAAUAGUGAAAGACGGUUUUGCUGUCACUUAUAGAUGGAUCCGCGCCGCAUUAGCUAGUUGGUAAGGUAACGGCUUACCAAGGCAACGAUGCGUAGCCGACCUGAGAGGGUGAACGGCCACACUGGAACUGAGACACGGUCCAGACUCCUACGGGAGGCAGCAGUAGGGAAUCUUCAGCAAUGGGCGAAAGCCUGACGGAGCAACGCCGCGUGAGUGAUGAAGGUCUUCGGAUCGUAAAACUCUGUUAUUAGGGAAGAACAAAUGUGUAAGUAACUAUGCACGUCUUGACGGUACCUAAUCAGAAAGCCACGGCUAACUACGUG